UACGUAGGGGGCUAGCGUUGUCCGGAAUCAUUGGGCGUAAAGAGCGUGUAGGCGGUCCGGUAAGUCCGCUGUGAAAGUCGGGGGCUCAACCCUCGAAUGCCGGUGGAUACUGUCGGGCUAGAGUGCGGAAGAGGCGAGUGGAAUUCCUGGUGUAGCGGUGAAAUGCGCAGAUAUCAGGAGGAACACCUAUGGCGAAGGCAGCUCUCUGGUACGUGACUGACGCUGAGACGCGAAAGCGUGGGGAGCGAACAGG
rnacentral:rRNA from 1 species